rnacentral:lncRNA from 1 species
AACACAACCCUUCAAAUAGACAAAGCCACAUGACUUGUUGUUAGAUCCAACCAAGCCAGAACGAGACCUUUUUCUCGCGGCCAAGACUUCUACCAUCUGUCGACCCAACCAAUCAGGGAAAAUUGAUGAGUCAUAUUUGAAAAAUCCAAGGUGGUCAAAGCAACUCCCUAAUGCCGGUAUCAGAAUGAAAAAAACGUACUCGUGCAGUCCAUGCUAGUGUUCCACCACCACCGAACAUCCAAGCACGCCAUAGUGCACCACUCUCAAAAGUCAAAAG